GUGCCCGUAGCUCAGCUGGAUAGAGCGUCAGACUCCGACUCUGAAGGCCAAGCGUUCGAAUCGCACCGGGCAUACCA
rnacentral:tRNA from 1 species